AACGCACCUUGCGCUCUCUGGUAUUCCGGAGAGCAUGCUUGUUUGAGUGUCGCUAUAUUCUCAAUCUCCCUUCUAUCUUUCCUUACGGAAUAAUGGUGGGUUGAGAUUGGAUCCUGGCUGCUUGCCGUCGUAACUUGACAGCUCGGCCGAAAUCUAGACAAGUGAUGGCACCCCACCGUGUUGAUCGGCUUGAACUCGACGUUGUAAUUGCUUCCCUCGUUGAGCUACGAUUUGCGCGAUCCUCUUCUUCAGGGAAGAGAGAUAUAGGGACUCACUUUGAGAAACCUUUAUAGCAAUGAGCAAAAAUGGCCUCAAAUCAAGUAGGACUACCCGCUGAACUUAA
rnacentral:misc_RNA from 1 species